ensembl:lncRNA
GUUUAUUGUGAGUUAGACUUGUGUUUACAAACAUUUUUUUAAAAAUACAUGUAAAUGUAGAGCAGGGAUGUCAAACUCAAAUACACAGUGGGCCAAAAUUCAAAACUGGAACAAAGUCGCGGGCUAACAUUAAUAUUUAUUGAAAAAAAAUCUUCCUCCAGAUAUAAGAAUGAAUCUUUUCUUAUGGACUCAAACACGUUUUGCUGAAAAACUGAAUAUGGAACAAGCAAAGCUUAAUACUAAACAAUAGAUAUAUUAGCUGUAUAAUACCAGUAGGCCAGCUCUAAUUGUAAUUUGGCAUGGCUUCGCGGGCCAAAUGUAAUUAGGCUGCAGGCCAAAUUUGGCCCGCGGGCCAGAGUUUGACACCUAUGAUGUAGAGAAAUACAAAUGCUUUAAUAACUAGUAUAUUAGAAUAUUUUAAUAUAUACCUUUAUUAACAUUAUUAUAUAAGAUGAUGGUUCACAACAGACACAAAAAAGCAACAGUUACAUGAAGAAUAACCAAUCAAUCGAAUAAUCAUGCAGUCUGCUAUGUAGGUGUUAUUCAUAUAAUCGGAUUGGAUACUUCCUGAAGGUGAGUUGUGUUAGUAGACUACGUGAAGACAUGCCACAUGAGCACAUUGGGACCAGAAAAGCACACUGCCAUAUGUUCUGUUACUGAGGAGCGUUUGAAGGACAAAGACAAUAAAAUUCUGAGAAAGAUAUUAAACAUUUGAAUGUUUUGAGAAACACAUUAGUUGAACUAAAGUCCAUUUGGAAAUCCCCACAGGCAGUUAUUUUGAAGUUUUAACUUAAACAACCUAAAAUCCUAAGGUCAGUGAGUCAGAAAACGUGAACGAAAGAUCAUAUGUGUGUGCUAAUCAACAGGAUAGACUGUAGCCUCAGGUGCAUAUUGUUAACUGGUGAUUAUGUGACGAUGCAUUUUAUGCAGCGGCAUUUUGAAACAGCUGCAGAUGUGAGAGCAACGACUGCCUGACCUUCACAUAAAGGGAGUUACAGUGGUCCAGACAGGAUAAAAUAAAAGCAUGGAUCAGUGUGCUGCCCAGAAAGAAGAUUUCACACCUGCCAGUCGCCUUACAUGAUAAAAAAUGGACUUCACUGCUCUAAUUUGGCUGUCAGUAAUAACAGGUUUAAAAUAUUAUUGUUUAAUAUAAUAAUAAUAAAAAGUUUAAGGCCAACCAGGUUUUACUGUUAUCUAGAAAUGCCAAGAGAGGUUUAAUGGAGAGGCCAUCCUUCUGCUUUAGUGGCAAAUAAAUGUGGCAGUCAUCAGCGUAACAAUGAAAAGAG